AGAGUUUGAUCAUGGCUCAGGAUGAACGCUAGCGACAGGCUUAACACAUGCAAGUCGAGGGGCAGCAUAAUUUGUAGCAAUACAGAUUGAUGGCGACCGGCGCACGGGUGAGUAACGCGUAUGCAACUUACCUAUCAGAGGGGGAUAGCCCGGCGAAAGUCGGAUUAAUACCCCAUAAAACAGGGGUCCCGCAUGGGAAUAUUUGUUAAAGAUUCAUCGCUGAUAGAUAGGCAUGCGUUCCAUUAGGCAGUUGGCGGGGUAACGCCCACCAAACCGACGAUGGAUAGGGGUUCUGAGAGGAAGGUCCCCCANAUUGGUACUGAGACACGGACCAAACUUCUACGGGAGCA
rnacentral:rRNA from 1 species